AAUUAACGCUGGCAGAGUGCAUAACACAUGCAAGUCGAGCGGGGGUGGCGGAUUAUCGCGCCCUAGCGGCAGACGAGUGAGUAACACGUAAGCAAUCUACCCUUGAAAGGCGAACAACUUACCGAAAGGUAAGCUAAUACGCCGUAACAUCCCGGGAGGGCAUCUUCUUGGGGAUCAGAGAUCGCAAGAUCGUUUGAGGAGGAGCUUGCGGCCCAUCAGCAGUUGGCGGUGUAAUGGACCACCAAGGCUAUGACGGGUACCCGGCCUGAAAGGGCGGACGGGCACGAAGGCACUGAG
rnacentral:rRNA from 1 species